rnacentral:snRNA from 1 species
UAUGGCGUCGUAGAUACGAACGAGUUGCAAUUCCGCCUUUUACUGAAUCGCACCGCGUAUCUUCGACACAACGCCACAUUAAGAAUUUUUAGUUGACGCUUUGCGUCU